GACGAACGCUGGCGGCACGCUUAACACAUGCAAGUCGAACGAGAACCUCGGAGCUUGCUCCGGGGGGACAGUGGCGAACGGGUGAGUAACACGUGAGGAACCUGCCCCGAAGACCGGAACAACACCGGGAAACCGGUGCUGAUACCGGAUGCCCUCGCCGGAUCGCAUGAUCCGGUGAGGAAAUGGAUUCCGCUUCGGGAUGGCCUCGCGGCCUAUCAGCUUGUUGGUGGGGUAACGGCCCACCAAGGCUUCGACGGGUAGCUGGUCUGAGAGGAUGUCCAGCCACACUGGGACUGAGACACGGCCCAGACUCCUACGGGAGGCAGCAGUGGGGAAUCUUGCGCAAUGGGCGAAAGCCUGACGCAGCGAUGCCGCGUGCGGGAUGAAGGCCUUCGGGUUGUAAACCGCUUUCAGCAGGGACGAAAUUGACGGUACCUGCAGAAGAAGCCCCGGCCAACUACGUGCCAGCCGCCGCUGUAACAC
rnacentral:rRNA from 1 species